rnacentral:rRNA from 1 species
GGUCCAGGUAGCUGCCUUCGCCAUGGGAUGUUCCUCCUGAUCUCUACGCAUUUCACUGCUACACCAGGAAUUCCGCUACCCUCUACCACACUCUAGUCGCCCAGUAUCCACUGCAGUUCCCAGGUUGAGCCCAGGGCUUUCACAACGGACUUAAACGACCACCUACGCACGCUUUACGCCCAGUAAUUCCGAGUAACGCUUGCACCCUUCGUAUUACCGCGGCUGCUGGCACGAAGUUAGCCGGUGCUUAUUCUUUGGGUACCGUCAUCCCAACCGGGUAUUAGCCAGCUGGAUUUCUUUCCCAACAAAAGGGCUUUACAACCCGAAGGCCUUCUUCACCCACGCGGUAUGGCUGGAUCAGGCUUGCGCCCAUUGUCCAAUAUUCCCCACUGCUGCCUCCCGUAGGAGUCUGGACCGUGUCUCAGUUCCAGUGUGGCUGAUCAUCCUCUCAGACCAGCUACGGAUCGUCGCCUUGGUGGGCCUUUACCCCGCCAACUAGCUAAUCCGACAUCGGCUCAUUCAAUCGCGCAAGGUCCGAAGAUCCCCUGCUUUCACCCGUAGGUCGUAUGCGGUAUUAGCGUAAGUUUCCCUACGUUAUCCCCCACGACAGAGUAGAUUCCGAUGUAUUCCUCACCCGUCCGCCACUCGCCACCCAGAGAGCAAGCUCUCCUGUGCUGCCGUUCGACUUGCAUGUGUUAG